GGUUAAGUGAAUAAGGGCGCACGGUGGAUGCCUUGGCACUAGGAGCCGAUGAAGGACGGGACUAACACCGAUAUGCUUUGGGGAGCUGUAAGUAAGCUAUGAUCCAGAGAUUUCCGAAUGGGGGAACCCAAUAUCUUUUAUAGGAUAUUACUUUUCAGUGAAUACAUAGCUGAUUAGAGGUAGACGCAGAGAACUGAAACAUCUUAGUACCUGCAGGAAGAGAAAGAAAAUUCGAUUCCCUGAGUAGCGGCGAGCGAAACGGGAAGAGCCCAAACCAACAAGCUUGCUUGUUGGGGUUGUAGGACUCCAAUAUGGUAGUCUGUUAGUAUAGUUGAAGGAUUUGGAAAAUUCCGCUAAAGAGGGUGAAAGCCCCGUAGACGAAAUGCUGACAACACCUAGGAGGAUCCUGAGUACGGCGGAACACGAGAAAUUCCGUCGGAAUCCGCGGGGACCAUCCCGCAAGGCUAAAUACUCCCUAGUGACCGAUAGUGAACCAGUACCGUGAGGGAAAGGUGAAAAGCACCCCGGAAGGGGAGUGAAAUAGAUCCUGAAACCGUGUGCCUACAACAAGUCAAAGCUCGUUAAUGAGUGAUGGCGUGCCUUUUGUAGAAUGAACCGGCGAGUUACGAUUGCAUGCGAGGUUAAGUCGAAGAGACGGAGCCGCAGCGAAAGCGAGUCUGAAUAGGGCGAAUGAGUAUGUAGUCGUAGACCCGAAACCAUGUGAUCUACCCAUGUCCAGGUUGAAGGUGCGGUAAAACGCACUGGAGGACCGAACCCACGUACGUUGAAAAGUGCGGGGAUGAGGUGUGGGUAGCGGAGAAAUUCCAAACGAACUUGGAGAUAGCUGGUUCUCUCCGAAAUAGCUUUAGGGCUAGCCUCGGAAUUGAGAAUGAUGGAGGUAGAGCACUGUUUGGACUAGGGGCCCAUCUCGGGUUACCGAAUUCAGAUAAACUCCGAAUGCCAUUCAUUUAUAUCCGGGAGUCAGACUGCGAGUGAUAAGAUCCGUAGUCGAAAGGGAAACAGCCCAGACCACCAGCUAAGGUCCCAAAAUAUAUGUUAAGUGGAAAAGGAUGUGGGGUUGCACAGACAACUAGGAUGUUGGCUUAGAAGCAGCCACCAUUUAAAGAGUGCGUAAUAGCUCACUAGUCGAGUGACCCUGCGCCGAAAAUGUACCGGGGCUAAACAUAUUACCGAAGCUGUGGACUACACCAUUAGGUGUAGUGGUAGGAGAGCGUUCUAAGGGCGUUGAAGGUCGAUCGUGAGGACGGCUGGAGCGCUUAGAAGUGAGAAUGCCGGUAUGAGUAGCGAAAGACAGGUGAGAAUCCUGUCCACCGUAUGACUAAGGUUUCCUGGGGAAGGCUCGUCCGCCCAGGGUUAGUCGGGACCUAAGCCGAGGCCGAUAGGCGUAGGCGAUGGACAACAGGUUGAUAUUCCUGUACCAGUUGUUUUUGUUUGAGCAAUGGAGGGACGCAGUAGGCUAAGGAAUGCAUGCGAUUGGAAGUGCAUGUCCAAGCAAUGAGUCUUGAGUAGAGUUAAAUGCUUUACUCUCUAAGGACAAGUUGUGACGGGGAGCGAAAUAAUAGUAGCGAAGUUCCUGAUGUCACACUGCCAAGAAAAGCUUCUAGUGAGAAAACAACUGCCCGUACCGUAAACCGACACAGGUAGUCGAGGAGAGUAUCCUAAGGUGAGCGAGCGAACUCUCGUUAAGGAACUCGGCAAAAUGACCCCGUAACUUCGGGAGAAGGGGUGCUGACGACCGUCAGCCGCAGUGAAUAGGCCCAAGCGACUGUUUAUCAAAAACACAGGUCUCUGCAAAAUCGUAAGAUGAAGUAUAGGGGCUGACGCCUGCCCGGUGCUGGAAGGUUAAGAGGAUGGGUUAGCUUCGGCGAAGCUCAGAAUUGAAGCCCCAGUAAACGGCGGCCGUAACUAUAACGGUCCUAAGGUAGCGAAAUUCCUUGUCGGGUAAGUUCCGACCCGCACGAAAGGCGUAACGAUUUGGG
rnacentral:rRNA from 1 species